rnacentral:rRNA from 1 species
UACGUAGGGAGCAAGCGUUGUCCGGAAUCAUUGGGCGUAAAGCGCGUGUAGGCGGCUUGGUAAGUCUGCUCUGAAAGCCCGGGGCUCAACCCCGGGGAGGCGGGUGGAUACUGCUGAGCUCGAGUCCGGAAGAGGCGAGUGGAAUUCCUGGUGUAGCGGUGAAAUGCGCAGAUAUCAGGAGGAACACCGUGGCGAAGGCGGCUCGUGGGCGAUGACUCUGAGGCAGCGAAAGCGUGGGGAGCAAACAGGG